rnacentral:lncRNA from 1 species
GGAUAUGAAAAUAACGGUCAAAAUCGGAUUCAAUUGUCAACUGCCCCUAUCGGAAAUAGUAUUGACUACCGAUUCCGAAGGAAAUGGAGUUACAUCUCUUUUCCAUUCAAGAGUUCCUAUGCGUUUCCACGCCCCUUUGAGACCCCGAAAAAUGGACAAAUUCCUUUUCUUAGAAAGCCUACUACCGAGACAGAAUUUGGAACUUGCUAUCCUCUUGCCUAGCAGGCAAAGAUUUACCUCCG